ACACGACUACAUUAGAUACCCCAGUAGUCCUAGCCGUAAACGAUACUCGCUAGGUGUCGGCCACGGCGCGACCGUUGUCGGUGCCGUAGGGAAGCCGUGAAGCGAGCCACCUGGGAAGUACGGCCGCAAGGCUGAAACUUAAAGGAAUUGGCGGGGGAGCACCACAACGGGUGGAGCUUGCGGUUUAAUUGGAUUCAACGCCGGAAAUCUUACCGGGACCGACAGCAACAUGAAGGCCAGGCUGAAGACUUUGCCGGAUUAGCUG
rnacentral:rRNA from 1 species